CGAUUCACAAAUAUUGGACUUGAUUUAUGUAUAUUGACUUAUCUUAUUGACCCCGGGUUUAGUAGCACUUUCUGCGAGCGUCAAUGGCGAAUCCUAUCGACCACAGAGAAAUCGAGAAAAGCUUCGCCGCUAACUUGCUCUUGCUCCUCUCAUAUAUCUCUUCUAGGAACUGCGCUCCGAUCGUCCUUCUAUUAACGUAAUUCAACUUCCAACGUUUCUUUCGCUGCCAUAUGUUAAAUGUGAUUUUCUCCUAAAGUGGUAAUUGUCCGAAACAACGUUUUUUAAAUUUAUUCGAUGGCUCUUUAUCGAUUAUCGAAAAUCUAACAUUGUUCGUAUGUGCGAUUAUCCAAAAAAAUAAGUGACAGUUGUUUUAUUUAUUUUUUUUGUUUUGCUGAGUAGAAGGAGCUCACAUGGGAGAGGAAAAAGACCCCCAAAAGAGGUAGGUAAGAGUUCUUCUUAGGACAGCCCCACAAGUUUUGUUUCUGUCUGUGUACCUAAGCACAUGAUAUCCACGAGCUCAUGAGUUGGCUUAAUCCCAGAUUAUUUCCUACCCAAUUAAACAUGUCAUUUGAGCUGCUUAACCAAUCCUAAUACAUUUAAAAAAAAUAAUCAGUAUUAUUUAAAUUACCCUUUCUUUUUCU